ACAAAAGCCCCAUUUAUAACGAUUUUUAUUCUGGGAAAUGCAAACCAAAGACGUAACUACUUUAUUGCUCUCUUAAGUUUUCUGUCGGUCAGCCCACAUCUCUGUCUUAUCUCUUCUUCGAUGUUCAUUAAAAUAAAUCGCAAGUAGGAGAAUAUUAAAGAAUCAGAUCCACGCUGAGAGCAACGAUUUUAUGUUUGUCAACUCCAUUCACUCUAUUUGUUAGUCAGUCAAGCAAAUGUAUAAAAGAUAUCCCGUUCCCACUAGUAGAUCUGCCAUUAACCUCUCUCUUCCGAGACAUGCAAUCGAAAUCUUAAUCUUGUCUUCGAAAGAUAAAUCUUCUUUUUUCGAGAAACCAAGAUCUCGAUAAGAAAAAAAAUUCAAUGAUCGAGUGAUUUUGCCUGGGUUAUCUUGAUGCUGUAAUGGAAAAUGCAAAGUUAAGCUUUAAAUAUUUAUUUUAAUAUGUUUCAGAGCUUAGUUAUGUUGUCUUUAUGCGAUUAUUUCAAUUUCACUAAUGAUUUGAAUAUAUGUGUUUCAGACAAUUGAUAUAACAAAAGGGGACUGCUAGAAGAAACCGACAACAUGUUAUUCAUCUUCAGACUAUUUUCAUGUGGCUCAGCGUCAUGCCUUAGCCCAGAGAUCAAAUCCCUUGAGCGAUUUUUGUGAGGAAAACGAAGAUUCAAUCAUUAAUUUUCUGUGUCUCAGCUAACCUUCUAAUGCGUGAGUGAUUUAAAGAUUGGAGACUAAUUGGUAGCUUUAAACUUGCGACCAGCAAUGAAAGCAGGGGAUGAUGAAAAAGUGAGGAUGAAUGGAAUCGCGUGAUGAUGCAAGUGAAUCAAAAUUGAGGAUCUGUCAGAGAUCAAAGGAGGAGAUGAUGAAUAUUUGCAUUACGCAAAUGAUACAAAGAGAUAAAGUUCCCAAAUGUUAUUAUGGUAUGUACGCAUAGGAGAGUUUUGGGUAAGAAAGAACAGACUCUCGAUUAAAAAUUUAGACAACACCUUUGUCGACCAGACUCUGCAUUACAAAAAACGGAUGCACUCAAGAGUAUCACCAGAAAAACUGGUGCUUUGUUUCCAAGAAUGAAGCAGUUUGAGAGUUAGACGCCAUUCAUCUCGGAAAGGUAGUCAGACCGGAGUUGGUGACAAUGGAACAUUUCGUGAUGGCAAUCUUGAAUUUAUGGCCCGAAAGUCUGUACAUCCUAGUAGCCGGGUAAACGGAGAAAUUCUCGAGGAACCUCCAUUGACCGACUUGCAAAUUCUUAACACGAGCAAGGAAGAUCCUCUUACAGGUAACGAAUUAUGGACUAAAUAGACGGCUUUUAAGGAGGUUGGUGAGAUUUUGUGCGCAGAAAGAAAAGACGUGGGAAGCAAGUAUCGAUUUUUUUAAAAAUGGGCUUACGUUUGAGAUUUUGUAAAUGGGCCACGUGACUUAUAAAUUAUGGUUAAAGGGUUAUGUUUUAGAAAUUACUAAAAUGACUCUAAUUAUACAUGUUUCCAAACACAUUUCAUUAAGACUACUAUUCAAGUUUCCAAACAA